rnacentral:rRNA from 1 species
AUUGAACGCUGGCGGAAUGCUUUACACAUGCAAGUCGAGCGGCAGCGCGGCCUUCGGGCUGGCGGCGAGCGGCGAACGGGUGAGUAAUGCAUCGGAACAUGCCCAGUCGUGGGGGAUAACACUUCGAAAGAAGUGCUAAUACCGCAUACGUCCUGAGGGGGAAAGCGGGGGAUCGCAAGACCUCGCGCGAUUGGAGUGGCCGAUGUCAGAUUAGCUAGUUGGUGGGGUAAAGGCCUACCAAGGCGACGAUCUGUAGCUGGUCUGAGAGGAUGAUCAGCCACACUGGGACUGAGACACGGCCCAGACUCCUACGGGAGGCAGCAGUGGGGAAUUUUGGACAAUGGGGGCAACCCUGAUCCAGCCAUUCCGCGUGAGUGAAGAAGGCCUUCGGGAUGUAAAGCUCUUUCGGCAGGAACGAAACGGUGGGCUCUAACAUAGUCCGCUAAUGACGGUACCUGAAGAAGAAGCACCGGCUAACUACGUG